rnacentral:lncRNA from 1 species
ACUUAUCGAAAGAAAUCGAGUCAACUCAUCAUUAAGAAGGAUGACUACCGACAUUUUACUUGCAGUCAGCAAAGAUAGAACAAAACAUGGCAUACACGUUGCUAAAAGAAUAUUUGAAAUCAUAAGAUAAACUUCUAAGUGCAUAAAUAAAGAAAACGACGUUAUCCAUACAACUCGAUUUCUCCGUACAAUUUUAAAUAUGUUGAUAACAAGUAGAUAAAUUUCAGUUGUUGUCAGUACAAUACAAGUCAUUCAAUUCAUUACAUAUUCGGCUAAAAUUCAUGGCAUUUUUCCCUUUCCCUUUCCUUUCCCAUUAUCUUCUAUAUCUCCUUUUCCAAUUCCGAUAGUCACAUUGAUAAAGAUAUCCAUGUCCUUCCGGUCAACUAUGUGAGCAACACUCUGUAACAUACGUGACAAAUCUACAAUCUAAUCUUCGAUCGAUGUGCCUUCAAAUUGCAGGGGUUAUUCUUCAACGGCCGGACGACCACCCUAGUUAUGAUAACUAUAGUCUCUACUGUAAGAUCGAAGUAACUGACCUUCGUUUGUAAUUUUUUCUUCACUUCAAUACACUUGACAAUGCCCAAAAAACACCUUGGGCACUUUUGUUUUGUCGGGCAGCCAGACAUCCAAUGGCCCGACUUCCUAUAGCUACAACAAAUGCCCUUGUUCCUCCUUGCCAUUAACAACUGCCAUUGCAUCCACAAAAUGUUCAUAAAUAAUCAGCUGAGAAGUAAAUUGACGGAAGAUAUACAGUAUGCAUUCACAACUGCUAUUGCAUCCACAGCAACAUAAAUAAUCAUCCACAAAUAUUUCCUAAAAGUUAAUCUCUGAAACGUAUAGUUUAUUGUCGUUUAUUUCGUAUUUUCACUAUUCUUAUAAAUAAUAUGCAUCUACAGCAAUCAGUGACAAAACAAUCGCAUGCAUCUUCUUCUCUAACUAAAUCUUUCAUUUAUUUACUUCUUAAAUUUUCAAAACAAAAUCCUUUCACAUAGAUAUUUUCAUAUGUUAUGUUCAUUAUCACAUUUCAGUAGAUGAACAUUUACCUUUAUUUUAAUUUAGAUCAUGAUUGCGUAGUAACAACUCUCAAUUACUGUAUGUCGUCGAUCGAAUUUUUGAAUCCUUACAGUCUUCUAGCAUAUUUGAUCGAUUUUGGGACGUAGGGUUCAUGAGGCGGAUUUGGGAAAAAUGACUUCACGCCUCACGGAUUCGAUUUGGGGAAAUCUCUUUUUUCCCAUCAUAAGGGUUUGGCUUUUACGCCUUCCAAGUCGUGCUUUCAUUAAUUAUUUGUGACAUGUUUGGAUGAGCCUUUGCUUAUUUGGUGAUGACUUGGCGAGGGAGAUAUUGUUUGGAAGUAUUUAACUAGCCAAAUCAACUUUUCGUCGUCUACGUAGGAGAGUCUAUUAACGGUUUUAAAUGGGUGAGUGAUGG